CAAGAUACUAGGAUAAGUAAUCUUCUAGCUUUGGGGGUUAGAGAUCUCUUUUAGAGGGUCUUGA
rnacentral:tRNA from 1 species